rnacentral:rRNA from 1 species
AGUGAACGCUGGCGGUAGGCCUAACACAUGCAAGUCGAACGGCAGCACAGUAAGAGCUUGCUCUUACGGGUGGCGAGUGGCGGACGGGUGAGGAAUACAUCGGAAUCUACUUUUUCGUGGGGGAUAACGUAGGGAAACUUACGCUAAUACCGCAUACGACCUACGGGUGAAAGCAGGAGAUCUUCGGACCUUGCGCGAUUGAAUGAGCCGAUGUCGGAUUAGCUAGUUGGCGGGGUAAAGGCCCACCAAGGCGACGAUCCGUAGCUGGUCUGAGAGGAUAAUCAGCCACACUGGAACUGAGACACGGUCCAGACUCCUACGGGAGGCAGCAGUGGGGAAUAUUGGACAAUGGGCGCAAGCCUGAUCCAGCCAUACCGCGUGGGUGAAGAAGGCCUUCGGGUUGUAAAGCCCUUUUGUUGGGAAAGAAAAGCAGCAGGUUAAUACCCCGCUGUUCUGACGGUACCCAAAGAAUAAGCACCGGCUAACUUCGUG